rnacentral:rRNA from 1 species
GACGAACGCUGGCGGCGUGCCUAAUACAUGCAAGUCGAACGCAGUGGGGACGGGUGAGUAACACGUGGGUAACCUCCCAUCAGAGGGGAUAACACUUGGCAACUGGUGCUAAACCGAUACUGAUGGAUGGACCCGCGGUGCAUUAGCUAGUUGGUGGGGUAACGGCUCACCAAGGCCACGAUGCAUAGCCGACCUGAGAGGGUGACCGGCCACACUGGGACGGAGACACGGCCCAGACUCCUACGGGAGGCAGCAGUAGGGAAUAUUCGACAAUGGACGAAAGCCUGACGGAGCAACGCCGCGUGAGUGAAGAAGGUUUUCGGAUUGUAAAACUCUGUUGUUAGAGAAGCGGUAUCUAACCAGAAAGCCACGGCUAACUACGUGCCAGCAGCCGCGGUAAUAC